UGGCUGAAUGGUAAAGCACUUGGCUUUCAAACCAGGGAUCCCAGGUUUGAAUUCUGG
rnacentral:tRNA from 1 species